AUGGUGUCGGCUCCGGUGAUUUAUGCAGCAGUGCCCAUCUCAGUAGUAGUGGCGAUUGGAUUAAUACGUAAACUGAGAUCCAGAAAUUGGGGCAAAUGUACUAGUAAUACAUGUCUGAGAGGCAAAACCUUUCUGAUAACCGGUGCAAACAGUGGUAUCGGACUUGAAACAGCUAAAGCCUUGGUUAAAAGAAAAGCCCGCGUUAUCUUUGCAUGCAGAGACAUUGCAAAGGCGAAAGAAGUUAUUGCCGCAAUACGAGAGGAACAGCCAAAUGGUGGUGAAAUGAUUCCAAUGCAGCUUGACCUCUCGUCAUUUGAAUCUAUAGAAAAUUUUGUGGAUAUUAUAAAGGCUGGUUUCCAUAAAAUAGAUGUCCUUAUAAACAAUGCUGGUGUUGUUGUUCCUUUGAAUCAAGAUGAGAAGACAAAAGAAGGAUUUGAAAUACAUUUUGGUGUGAACCACCUAGGCCACUUUUAUCUUACUAAUCUUUUGUUAGACCAUUUGAAGAGGGCUACUCCAAGUAGAAUUGUAAUCGUGUCUUCAACGUUACACGAAAAAGGAAAAAUCGAUUUUGACGACCUAAACUUAAGGUCGGAAAUAGAAUUAGCGAAAAAAGGCAAAAGCGGUCGUCACAACCCCGGUUAUUGUAACUCCAAACUAAUGAAUGCAUACUUUAUGAGAUCACUAGCUGCAAAAUUGAGAAAUUCUGGGGUCGAUGUCAACGCAUGCUGCCCAGGAUUCUGUUACACGAACUUAUUCAGAUAUUCGGUAAAAUGGUACCACUACAUUAUGAUGGCGCCAAUCUUUCUUCUUUUCAUGAGAUCGGCUAAACAGGGUUCCGAAACAGUAUUGUUCUGUGCCACAGACCACAGUCUUGAAGGGAAAUCGGGCCGGUUUUACCGCGACUGUGUCGAAUACGACACCAAGUAUCCAUUUGACAGGGCCGUGGAGAACAAACUGUGGGAGGUCAGCGAGGACCUGAUCAAAGCCAGGAAGCCGCUGUGAAUCCGAAAAUACGUCCAAUGACACGUCAUCUCGAAUCGGUCGAUCUGUUUCGUAUUUUUAUACCAAAAUUAUAAAUUAAUUAAAAAAAAAAUUCACAAAAAGAAACCGAAAAAGCGCUUCAAAAUUUCGGGCAUUUUCGUAAGAUUUAGAUAGACCUUAAUGUUAUAAGAAUAGCAACUAAACUUGUAUGACACUUUAAAAUAAAUAACAUUAUUAGCGAUUGUAAAGGUGUUUUGUUUGGCGUACGAAAAUAUAGUUUAUAUACACGGUGUAGUGGCCAAAUCGUGGUGUAGUAAUUUGUUUUAGGGAAACCACGUUUGUGGCACGAUUAUACUUAUAAUGAAUUCUAAGCAAAUUCUAUUGCUAACUUAUGGAAUCCAUUUUAAAUAUGGAUGGUAAGGUAAUGGUGUCCAAUAAAGAUAUAUUAUAUUCAUAUUAAGAUGACGUUGCUAUGAAAGUGCCAAUAUUUAAAGACAGCAUCAUGACAAUGUUGUCUCAGGUAUUAAAUUUGGAUAAACAGCGUUAUCAAAUCUAUAUUUAUAACUAUACUACUACUUGUUACUCGCGGCUUCGCUCGCGUGGUCAAGGAAAAGUGUAAAUUAAUUUUUCUAUAUUAAUAAAACAGUUUCAUGUGGGAAUUGGAUGUUUUUUUCGGGAUAAAUGGUAGCCUAUGUCACUUAUCUAUUACUUUCCGUUUCUUCGGUUCGGUGUGUGAAAGAAGGACAAACAAACAUACAUACUAUCACAUAUUGCACCUUUCGAAUUGAAGUUGGCUUAAUCCAAAAUUCUUGUUUUUGGGUAAAUGCUAAAAAUGUAAUUAAAGAAUUGAAGACAAUUUCUCAGUGCGAUUUUAAUAAUUUAAGCCUUAAAAUGCAUACCUUAAAGUUUAAAGUACCCGCUUGAUUUAAAAGGGACAGAAAGUGUACUUUGUCCUUUUCUAGAUAAAAAAUUAAAAUUAAUUUUUAAUUUUAUUGUAGGUACAUAAGCCGCUCAAAGUAUAAAACUACUUUUUUUUUCAAAUUUUUUGUUAUGUCACUUCAAUUCUAAAAGUGCGAUAUAUAAUUUUAAAUUAGAUUUACUGUACAUAAAACAUACAGUAUAAUUAUGUAUUAUUAUUUUUUACAUUUUUAUGCGUUCUAAGUAUCAAGGUUAUCAUCU